rnacentral:rRNA from 1 species
CCUACGGGAGGCAGCAGUAGGGAAUAUUGGUCAAUGGGCGAAAGCCUGAACCAGCAACGCCGCGUGCGCGAUGAAGGCCUUCGGGUCGUAAAGCGCUUUUGGGAGGGAUGAAAAUGACAGUACCUCCCGAAUAAGGAUCGGCUAACUACGUGCCAGCAGCCGCGGUAAGACGUAGGAUCCAAGCGUUAUCCGGAAUUACUGGGCGUAAAGGGCGUGUAGGAGGUUGGGCAAGUCGGCCAUGAAAGCUCCCGGCUCAACUGGGAGAGGCUGGUCGAUACUGCCUGGCUAGAGGGCAAGAGAGGGAGGUGGAAUUCCCGGUGUAGUGGUGAAAUGCGUAGAUAUCGGGAGGAGCACCAGUGGCGAAGGCGGCCUCCUGGCUUGUACCUGACUCUGAAACGCGAAAGCAUGGGUAGCAAACAGGAUUAGAAACCCUGGUAGUCCAUGCAUAACGAUGUCACUAGGUGUCGGCGAAGUAAAUUAGUCGGUGCGACGCUACGACGUUAGUUAGUACGCCUCGAGACGUACGAUCGCGAGAUAAACUUAAAUAGAGUUAGACGGUCGUGAGAGUUGUCCGAGGACGACGACGAGGGAGAGG